rnacentral:rRNA from 1 species
CGGCGUGGAUUAGGCAUGCAAGUCGCGCGAGAAGUUCCUUCGGGAGACGGACAGGCGGCGGAAGGGAGAGGAAUAAGUAGAAAUCUGCCCUCGGGACGGGGAUAGCGGCGGGAAACUGCCGGUAAUACCCGAUAACAUCUUUGGAUCAAAUGGUGUGAUUCCGCCUGAGGAUGAGUCUACUUCCUAUUAGCUAGUUGGUGUGGUAAUGGCUCACCAAGGCAACGAUGGGUANCGGGUGUGAGAGCACGAUCGCCUCACUGGGACUGAGACACUGCCCAGACACCUACGGGUGGCUGCAGUCGAGAAUCUUCGGCAAUGGGGGAAACCCUGACCGAGCGACGCCGCGUGCCGGGAUGAAGGCCCUCGGGUUGUAAACCGCUGUCGUAAGGGAACAAAUCUAAGAGGGUACUCCCUUUUAGUUGAGUGAUCUUAGGAGGAAGGACGGGCUAAGUUCGUG